rnacentral:rRNA from 1 species
GGGUGAGUAACACGUGGGUGAUCUGCCCUGCACUUUGGGAUAAGCUUGGGAAACUGGGUCUAAUACCGAAUAUGACCACUUCUUGGAUGUUGUGGUGGAAAGCUUUUGCGGUGUGGGAUGAGCCUGCGGCCUAUCAGCUUGUUGGUGGGGUAAUGGCCUACCAAGGCGGCGACGGGUAUCCGGCCUGAGAGGGUGUACGGACACAUUGGGACUGAGAUACGGCCCAGACUCCUACGGGAGGCAGCAGUGGGGAAUAUUGCACAAUGGGCGCAAGCCUGAUGCAGCGACGCCGCGUGGGGGAUGAAGGCCUUCGGGUUGUAAACUCCUUUCGCUAUCGACGAAGCCUUCGGGUGACGGUAGGUAGAUAAGAAGCACCGGCUAACUACGUGCCAGCAGCCGCGGUAAUACGUAGGGUGCAAGCGUUGUCCGGAAUUACUGGGCGUAAAGAGCUCGUAGGUGGUUUGUCGCGUCGUCUGUGAAAUCCCGGGGCUUAACUUCGGGCGUGCAGGCGAUACGGGCAUAACUUGAGUGCUGUAGGGGAGACUGGAAUUCCUGGUGUAGCGGUGAAAUGCGCAGAUAUCAGGAGGAACACCGAUGGCGAAGGCAGGUCUCUGGGCAGUAACUGACGCUGAGGAGCGAAAGCAUGGGUAGCGAACAGGAUUAGAUACCCUGGUAGUCCAUGCCGUAAACGGUGGGCGCUAGGUGUAGGGGGCUUCCACGUCUUCUGUGCCGUAGCUAACGCAUUAAGCGCCCCGCCUGGGGAGUACGGCCGCAAGGCUAAAACUCAAAGGAAUUGACGGGGGCCCGCACAAGCGGCGGAGCAUGUGGAUUAAUUCGAUGCAACGCGAAGAACCUUACCUGGGCUUG